rnacentral:rRNA from 1 species
AACGAACGCUGGCGGCAUGCCUAACACAUGCAAGUCGAACGAACCUUUCGGGGUUAGUGGCGGACGGGUGAGUAACACGUGGGAACGUGCCUUUAGGUUCGGAAUAACUCAGGGAAACUUGUGCUAAUACCGAAUGUUGCCUUCGGGGGAAAGAUUAAUCGCCUUUAGAUGGGCCCGCGUUUGAUUAGCUAGUUGGUUGAGGUAAUGGCUCACCAAGGCGACGAUCAGUAGCUGGUCUGAGAGGAUGAUCAGCCACAUUGGGACUGAGACACGGCCCAAACUCCUACGGGAGGCAGCAGUGGGGAAUAUUGCGCAAUGGGCGAAAGCCUGACGCAGCCAUGCCGCGUGAAUGAUGAAGGUCUUAGGAUUGUAAAAUUCUUUUACCGGGGACGAUAAUGACGGUACCGGGAGAAGAAGCCCCGGCUAACUUCGUG